UUGGAAAGAAACCAAUAGGGAAUAGAUUGAAGAUGUGGAAGGAUGACAGAUGAAGCAGAAUUUCACAGGAGAUGGGAGGGGAAGAAGUCAUCAGCUCAGGUGGAGAUUCUGGUCUUGAACAGGAGGAGUAACCAUUAUCUCCUAAAACUGGAGAUGGAGGAAGGGAGCCAUGAGUCAAGGAAUGAGGCAGCUUGAAAACCUGGGAAUGGCCUUCAGCAUACAGCCAACAAGAAAACAAGGGCCUCAGUUCUACAGCCGGAAAGAACUGAAUUCUGCCAACAGCCUGCAUGAGUAAGAAAACAGAUUCUCCCUAGAGCCUCCAGAUAGCAAUGCAGUCCUGCUGAUGCCUUAAUUUUAGUAGAGUGAGACCUUUGCAGAC
rnacentral:lncRNA from 1 species